GUGCUCGCUUUGGCAGCACAUAUACCAGAAUUGGAAUGACACAGAAAAGAGUAGCAUGGCCGCUGCACAAGGACGCGUUAUUAUUAUUUUAAUGGACAAAAAAACUU